GAGGUUGAUAAGGUGAUCCGUGUUCCCUCAAUGCAGAGGCAAAGCAGCAGUUUAGAAUGGAACUUGAAUGGAGGAUGCAAGGGUGAUUUAAAGUUAUGAAGAGGGCUUUUUGCCUAUAGAUCUUGUACAAAUGGCAUGAAGACAUGGAGGAAACUUGGUUUUAAUACAUAAAGGAAUUUGGGGGUGGUGAUAUUCCUCACAGGCUGUCGCAACUCUCAAAUUACAUGGGUAUAGGACUAUGUCUACCGUAUUGGCCAUUAACAGAAGAAUAAGUAUAGGGAAAAGAAGGGUGGGGGGUUGUGAGGAGGAGGGUGAGAGAAUCCUGUUAUGGAAUGAUAAAGGCAGAGGAGAAAUGAAAUCCUCGAACUUCCCCAUUACUCUCUAAAGUUGUAAAUGUUGUGGACCUUCUUUUAAGUAUUUAUUUGGGAUAGCAGCAGACUCAGCAGUGAACCCAUUAGUAUACUAACAAGGAUUGUAUGUCAUUCUUGUUUGCCACUUUUCUUGUAUCAUUCUCUGUUUAGUUUAUUUUGUACUUUUCUUUGUAAAAAGCACUGUCAGCCCAUUUAGAAACAUUAACUGUUGACAACCAAAGGCAGUCAUGGUCCUUAUGGCAAUCUUGUUCUAGUAUUAUCUCACCUUGAUAAGAUUUUGAAUUGGAAACUUAGAAGCAGAUGAUCUGCCAAAAAUCCAAUUAAGGCCAUCAGAGCAAGUCUUUGAUUCCUCUUCUUGUUUUGCACUUUGCUUGAAGAUUUUUUCUAUUUGAGCAUAAUUUAUGAAAUUGAUUAUUAUGACGCAUUGAACUCUUUUUUUUUAAUUAUUAUUUUUUAAUAAUUUCACGACAUCCUCAUGCGUUGGCAUGUUUAGAUGCUUUCUUUUUUUGAAUAUUUC
rnacentral:misc_RNA from 1 species